rnacentral:rRNA from 1 species
GUCUAUGGCCAUAAACUCUGAUUUCAGAAGCUAAACAGGGUUGGGCUUGGCCAGUUUUUGGAUGGAAGACCGCCUGGGAAUAUCGGGUGCUGUAGGCU